CAUUCUCACGGUAGUGUUUUCUGCCAUCUCUGAUAAACGUAUUUCUUCAGUUGGAUAAAGGGGCUUGAUUUGAUAAUAAACGAGCUGAGGAAUUGGACCUGGUGUGGACUUGUGGUGGGGUUUCUCGGUGCGUUCAGAUGCAGCGCCUGUCUUUCGAUCACACUAUGCAACGAUUGCUGGCAGCAACGCUGCAAAGCACUGUGGACGAGGCGACGAUGUGCCCUCCACUCCUCAUUAUAGUCCCCCAGAGAGAUGACGGUAGAUGUUUCCAUACCGCUGUGCCAAAUGGUUCAGGUGAAUUGGCAGAUGAUCAUGUGUCAGCUCCAUCAUAUUGCCAAUUAGGUAGAAGCCGGGAGGACCUGGGAGGGAAGGAGACGAGGAGUGGGGGAGCAACUGAUGGAGAUCCUGCAGCAGUCCAGCUUUAACUUACAAAUGAAAGAUUUUGGAAAGAAAAAGGUAAAACAGGGAAUGCAUAAACACAAUAACAAUUCAUCAAGUUCAGGGGUUUACUAUUGUUUUGAUGCUUUGAGAAAUUGUCCCAUUCAUUUGA